GAACUAAACCUAAGAUACAUGACAGGAAAGGUGCUAAGAGAGCAAAACAGAACAUGCAAAUGAACCAUGGAACAAACAAGGAAAAACAGAAAACACAACAUGGGCUGUAUUUGAAACCGCCUACUAUACUAGUAGUAUGUACUGAUUUGGUCUAAAUGUAGUAUGUAGUAUGCAGUAUGCAAACAAAAGCAAAAUCUGCAGUAUGCCAAAAAUACCCGGAUGGCGUACUGAUUCGGAAAAAAUCUCCAGUAUGCAUCGGACCAGUCUACCUCGCAUACUGUGGCCCAUAAUGCAACCGCUACAACAAUCAUAACCGGGAAUAAUGGCGGGGGUACCAACACUCCAGUGGUCGAUAGAGAAGGAUAUAAAUGGACAGAUGAGGACACAGAUGCCCUGAUCCGAUGGCGAACCGCCAACAAAGCAAUUUUCAGUGGGCAGUGGAAUGCGGCCCACAAGGGAUUUGAAGAGUUCGUCAGGGAGCAGUCUUUGGUGGGCAAAAUUGAGCCCACCAAGGUUAAGCGAAAAUGGGAGAAUUUAAAACAGAAGUACAAGGCGAGUUAUUAAGCUAAAUCUAAAUCUUUAUGAGACCCUUCUACAAUGCCAUUGCUUUAUUGCUGAGAGUACAGUUCGAGAGUCUUGACUGAAAACUAAAAGGGAC